rnacentral:lncRNA from 1 species
CGCUCGCGACUUCUCGCACCUCCAUUGGCGGCUCAGGCGUGCCGGGGUUGGGCAGUUCUCCGAGCCUGUGGCCCAGGCCGAGCAAUACGUUUGGGUUCAGCUGGACCGCGCGGACGCUGGGAGAGGACCGCCGCCGCCGAGGUUCCUGGUCGAGGAGACUUCAGCGUCCGCCGGCCUCGAGCACCGUGACGCCAGGGAGCAGUCUGGGAAGAGCUGGCAGUCGGAAGCUCAGAAGUCAGCCUCAGUUUCCUUGGAGCGAACUCUUGAAGCUUGCGGCGCACACACACACAGGAAAUCUAAUAAAGGGAGAAGGCAGGAGUCAGAACUUCCACAAGAUAAAACCUAUUUUUGUGGGUUUUUUUGUUGUUGUUGUUGUUUUGAGACAGGGUUUCAUGAUAAAGUUGAGACUGACCUGGAAUUCACUAUCCCAGGCUGGUCUCGAACUCACAGCCAUUCUCCUGCCGCAGCCUCCCCAGUGCUGGGAUUACAGGCGUGCACCACCAUACCCAGCCUAAAAAAACCUAUCUUAAUGUCUAAGUGUGAAGAAAGGAACUGGAGUGAAAUCAAAUGACAGAAAAAACGCUUUCUGGAAAAAAGCUGGCUCAUAAAUGAUCUUACAGUGUUAUUAAACCCACACUGCUAAAACGUAUCAGGAUUUUGAUAAAACUAGGCUUACAAAUGUUGGGCACCCCCUUCAUUCAUCUAGUCCCGCUGUCAGAAUAAUUUUGUACAGUUAGGAUGCUGCCACGACCACUCCAGUGGAGUCUGCGUGACAAUGCCGGUCACCUGGCAGAAACCAGACCCGAGGUAUCGUCCCCGCGGGGUUAAGCCUCCUGGAGGUCCUUGGCACACACCGCAUGCGAAGUCAGCCGUGAAGAGAAUAGCUGGCCUCUCUGCCUGCAGUUUGGGGACAUUGGGUUCAUUUAUAAUUCUGUUCUAUUUUGUCUUUAUUACUAUUUGUUCAUUAUCUGUAGAAUUGUAUUCUGGGCCCAGGAAAGGUUAGGAACAAUUAGAUGUUCCUAGAGAUGGGGAGGUAUUGAGGCACAAGAGGACGGGCGGCCAAAGUGCUGACCCUGAGCCCCGGACUGUGAAGUCCUGAAGGUGAUCCUGAAGGUGACAUGCUGAAGCCAGUCCUUUGUUUUACAAAGUUCCCCUUCUGACUGCGUAUAGGUGUGCUCUUACCUUGACUUAAUGGUCUUAGCUUUUGUGAUGGUAUAUAGGUGUGGUCUUACCUUGAUCUUGUGGUCUUAGUUUUUACAGUACUAUUGUCUAUCUUUCUCAUGCCUGCCUGUGACUGGAAUCACUCUUGAGGUGUGCCCUUGAAACUAGUAUAUAAACACCUAGAGUUAGAAAUAAAAUUGCAGCAGCAUUGGCAAACUUCACCUCGGUGUUGAGUGCUUUUGUCUGACUGUCGUCGCCGAAC